GAUGCAGACAUGUCCGAUUCUAAUGUCUCUCAUUUACCAACAAAAAUUACUGCUAAAGACCGUGCAAAACCAUUCCCUGAUGGAUCAAACGAGCGGACCAUAGACCAGACAAAUCACUGCGACGAAAGCUGCUGCAUCCAGAUCUAUUGCGAGCGCUGAGAGAAUGAAGCUCCGGAAUGUAAAAAUAUGCAACAGGCAUCGAAUUUUACAGACAAUCUCCAAGAACAAGGGAAAGACAAAGAAGACGUGUGACAUCGCUGUCAGUCUUGGCUGGUGAUUAAACUCCCUUGUCUCCAGUGUUCAGCUGUGAAUAUUCCUCCUGCAGUCCCUCAUUGUGCAUUCUGACUCAUCUAGAGAUUUCUUCAGAUGUCUGCCCACAAUGAAGGUUUCCCAGAGACUAUGGGUUGAGGAGGAAUUGGAAGUUUGUCAGCUUAGACCUGGUGUCAUUCCAUCAGUGUUAAACUUCCCGGCUCAUCUUGGAAGAGUACGUGCCAGAAAGACCACGACCAAGCAGCCUUGAGAUCUUAGGCAGCGUCUCCCUGAGGUCCCUCUCUAUCUCCCCACACAUCCACCAACCACUGGAACACAUCUCCAAAGUUCUGCUGGACCAGCUCAGCUUCCCCUCAGAAGAAGUUCCACCACCUGCCAGAUGAAGGAGCCUUUUGAGAGGCAGCUGACAUCGUAAUUGGACUGUACUUUGGUCUGUUCCAAUCCAGCUUCAGCUCCAGAGACGGCAGGCGGGACGAGUCAACGGAGGCCGGGUGGACGAAGGCAUGCAGCUGAGUACAAUACAGAAAACAACAGAGGAGGAGUACAGCGGCUCAGGGCCAGAACAAACAGAGUAGCAUCAUAUGUCUCUUAGAAAACAUCAUAGUACAGCCUUUGGUAUGAAAAAACGCCAUCAUAUGCAUCGUAUAUUGUACAAAUAAGUCAAAGGAAAGAGACAUACAUUGUAGAAUUGUAGUAAUUGUGGGCUGACUGAUUUACUGAUUAUCAGUAUUUUAAUUUUUACUGAUUUACGGUAAUAAAUACAUUUAAAAA